CCAUAGCCCAGAUAGAAGCGGCAUCCUUUUUCUGGCUUCUUUAGCCAGGAAAAGAUAUAGCGGAUAGCUGGAAAUAGC
rnacentral:sRNA from 1 species